rnacentral:misc_RNA from 1 species
CAGGACUCGCAAGACUCCUACAACCCUGUGAACCUACUAUACGAACGUUGCUUCGGCGGGUGCGCCCCGGGGAUUCGUUCCCGCGGCGCGUCAGCCCGCCGGCAGCCUACAAAUUCUGUUUCUUUGCGUUGGCAUCUCGAGAAAAAACAAAUAAGUUA